UGAAAUAGAAAGUGGAUGCCUCCCUGUCAGGGCCCCUACUGUGAUCUCACAGAAAGAUGGAAACGUCAGGAUAGGGAUGAGCUUGGUAGUCAGCAUGGGGAGGGAAGAGGCAGGGUCUGUGCCUUUAAAAGUUGCCCUAUAAGGGGGCAAAUGCCAAGGGACCACUAAGGAACUCAGCAUGUCCCAAAAGCUAGGAGCAAGAAUGUCUCCCCAGUCCUAUACCUUUAUUCCUCUAGGGGCACACUCUUUCAUUUGACUACUAGAAGCCCAAACCUCAAAAGACCCAAGUCCUAGCCUAUCUCAUCCUUGUCUUAGGUGUCUUGCUCACCUGUCCAGAGCCCAGCAGCCUGGCAGUGCCCACACCCCCAUCCCCAGCCAUCAUCAAACGUCUGCAAUGUUGGAACCCCCAGCUGGUCUGCUGAGGUCCAUUUCAGGGGGACUUGGUGCCCUGGUGUCUGAAAACCAGCCUCACCCUGGCUGGUGCCCAGCCCCAGGGUGUAUUAGAAUGUCUGGGCCUGGUUCCCCAGGAAAUUGAUACUUGGGGUUCAUAGUCAGAGAGAUGAACUGGAAGGAAGAAGUAUUACUGCAUGCUCAAAAGAUACAGGUGUAAGACAAGACCAGAAUGUGUGGAAGUGAGAGAGCUGGAUUUGGGUUUGGUACUUUGGACUGGGGAGAGAAGAAAGAAAAUAAACUUUUGUUAAUUGGAAAAAAGUGUUAUCAUAUCCUAACUUAUAAUAAUU